rnacentral:rRNA from 1 species
CGUUCCCGGGCCUUGUACACACCGCCCGUCACGUCACGAAAGUCGGUAACACCCGAAGCCGGUGGCCCAACCCCCUUGUGGGAGGGAGCUGUCGAAGGUGGGACUGGCGAUUGGGACG